rnacentral:rRNA from 1 species
GUGUCAGCAGCCGCGGUAAUACGGAGGGUGCGAGCGUUAAUCGGAAUUACUGGGCGUAAAGCGCAUGCAGGUGGUUUGUUAAGUCAGAUGUGAAAGCCCGGGGCUCAACCUCGGAAUAGCAUUUGAAACUGGCAGACUAGAGUACUGUAGAGGGGGGUAGAAUUUCAGGUGUAGCGGUGAAAUGCGUAGAGAUCUGAAGGAAUACCGGUGGCGAAGGCGGCCCCCUGGACAGAUACUGACACUCAGAUGCGAAAGCGUGGGGAGCAAACAGGAUUAGAAACCCGAGUAGUCC